CCAAAUCCAAUUCCUAUGUCUGAGAGCGCUGUCCAAAUGCUCCCUGAGCUCCGGCACUCGGGGCCGUGCCCACUGCCCUGGGCAGGCUGUUCCAUGCCCACUGCCCUCUGGUGCAGACCCUUUCCCUCACCCCCAGCUGCCCCUCCCCUGACCUGAACCCCUUAGGUUCUAUUCUAAUCUCUCAUCAAAGAUUUGGAGAACAUUUUGAAGGGAUAUUGCAAUUUUUGAUCCAGCAUGUGUGCAUCUUUUGUGAAUAUUCUGUCAGAAGGCCAUGACAAAUGCUAAUACAUGUCUGCAGAAGCCACGUGAAGUCUCUGCAUUUACCUUGGCACCACAGAUACUGAGAGGAGCUGCUGGAAGGAACGGGGCUCUGCCCACGCCGCAGCGUUCGAAGCUUUUGCUAAUGGCUGAGGCACUCUUAGAUGUGAAGAGAGAAAGCCUGAGAUCUCCAGUCCUGAAUCUGGUGAAAAAGGUGUAACUGCCAUAUCACAGCACGGAACGCUGAGUACAUUAUUCUUUCCAACAGCAGGAUUUGAAGUCAACUUUGUAGGAGGAAAGAGAUGGGUUUCGUAUUUGCUGCCCAAUAGUCCAUACGCUUUCCAGUGGUAUCACAGAAUCACAGAAUAUUCUGAGCUGGAAGGGAGCCAUAUGAAUCAUCAAGUCCAAGUCUUGGCUCCACGUGGGACCACCCAAAAUUCAAACCCUACCUCUGAGAACACUGUCCAAAUGCUCCUUGAACUUUGGCAGCUCAAGGCCACAACCUCUGCUAUGUGGAGCCUAUUCCAGGGCCCAUUUUACUGCACUGGCUGCAGAUGAACAUGGGAUAGCUUGCAGAG
rnacentral:lncRNA from 1 species